UGAGGCAGAAAAUAAAAUGAACAAAGUUUAUUUUUAGGAAUGUAUCGAUGAAAUACCCACGACUAAAAGGAGGGGCAAUAAAUAUU
rnacentral:sRNA from 1 species